rnacentral:rRNA from 1 species
CAACUUUCAACAACGGAUCUCUUGGCUCUCGCAUCGAUGAAGAACGCAGCGAAAUGCGAUAAGUAAUGUGAAUUGCAGAAUUCAGUGAAUCAUCGAAUCUUUGAACGCACCUUGCACUCCUUGGUAUUCCGAGGAGUAUGCCUGUUUGAGUGUCAUGA